CCCCGUGAAAACCCGGAGUAGAUGCAGAUUGAAUAGAAAACGAUGUUGAGAAAGGCCUUGCAGUAGAAUCAGGAA
rnacentral:snoRNA from 1 species